UGUACACGCUGUGACUAGCAUAUCAAUAAGCGGAGGAAAAGAAACUAACAAGGAUUCCCCUAGUAACGGCGAGUGAAGCGGGAAGAGCUCAAAUUUGAAAUCUUAAAGGGUUUCCCUUUACGAAUUGUAGUUUAAAGAAGUGUUUUCUGUUGAGGUUUUGGUAAAAGUUCUUUGGAAUAGGACAUCAUAGAGGGUGAGAAUCCCGUAUUUGACCUUUACUUUCAACUUUGUGAUACACUUUCAAAGAGUCGGAUUGUUUGGGAAUGCAGUCCAAAAUGGGUGGUAAAUUUCAUCUAAAGCUAAAUAUUGGCGAGAGACCGAUAGCGAACAAGUACCGUGAGGGAAAGAUGAAAAGAACUUUGAAAAGAGAGUUAAACAGUACGUGAAAUUGUCAAAAGGGAAGCGUUUGACACCAGUGUUGUUUUUCUGAGAAUCAAUUAAAGAAGCUGUUUAUGCUAAGUUGUUUAGACUUUAUCAGCUAACUGUUUAGUUUUGAGCUUUUCUUUAAUGCACUUUUCAGUUAACAAGUCAACAUCAAUUUCUUUUGCUGUAAAAAAGCUUGAGGAAGGUGGCUUGAGAUUCGUCUUAAGUGUUUAUAGCCUCUUGCCUAUGCAGUCGGAGAGAUUGAGGUCUGCAGCGUAGAUCCUUCGGGGCUAAAUGCAUUUGUGCUAAGUUAUAGCAUUUUAUAGACAACUUGUUGACUAUGAUUUGUCUUGUAGCUUACUCGCUUAUGUUAUUUUACCUACGCUUAGGAUGUUGACAGCAGUAUAGACUGU
rnacentral:rRNA from 1 species